UUGGAGGGCAAGUCUGGUGCCAGCAGCCGCGGUAAUUCCAGCUCCAAUAGCGUAUAUUAAAGUUGUUGCAGUUAAAAAGCUCGUAGUUGAAUUUCGGGGUUCUACCGUUGGUCGGGCUUUGUCUGUACUGGUGUGUAGAAUUUCUACCUUCUGGGGUACUAUCAUGCCAUUUAGUUGGUGUGAUAGGAAAUCAGGACUGUUACUUUGAAAAAAUUAGAGUGUUUAAAGCAGGCUAACGUCUGAAUACAUUAGCAUGGAAUAAUGAAAUAGGACGGAUUGGUUUUAUUUCGUUGGUUUCUAGGAUCACCGUAAUGAUUAAUAGGGAUAGUUGGGGGCAUUAGUAUUCAAUUGUCAGAGGUGAAAUUCUUGGAUUUAUUGAAGACUAACUAUUGCGAAAGCAUUUGCCAAGGAUGUUUUCAUUAAUCAAGAACGAAAGUUAGGGGAUCGAAGACGAUCAGAUACCGUCGUAGUCUUAACCAUAAACUAUGCCGACUAGGGAUCGGAUGACGUUAAUUUUUUAAUGACUCAUUCGGCGCCUUACGGGAAAC
rnacentral:rRNA from 1 species